CCUCACGCGGCUGCUGCUCGCGCGGCGGCAGCUGGAGCAGCUCCUUAGUCGACGCCCGAUUCCGCUCGGCGGCGGACCUCGCCACGGCCGCCGACGUCGAGGCCGAGAUCCGCGGGCGCUGCGCGGAGCUUGAAGCCUUAGUAUCCGACCUGUCCGUACGCAUAUACGAAGCUCAGAAGCUGCUGCAGCGUACUCGUCUUGCCGCGAGGCCGCUGGUUUGGCCCUUCGUGGCGUCCGCGACGGGCUUGGUGCCCUCAGAGCCUCCAUCUCCACAGGGGUUGGAGAAGAGCCUCCUCCACUUCGUCCACUCUCUCCAAGAGAUGCCCAUUGCGAUUGAGACGGACAAAGCUAAAGCCCAGCACUACGAGCUGCCAACCACAUUUUUCAAGCUCGUUCUCCGAAGGAAUCUCAAAUACAGGGAAGGCAGCCGCCGGCUCAAGCUCCAUGGAGCAACAACCAAGCUCUAGCAGAAAAGGGAAAAGAAAGGCACAAGAAAGAGAUCUAAAGAGCUAUUUUAGUCCAUUCGGAUCCAGUAGCACAAACCCAAGCACUCAUGGAAGUGAAGUUGGUAAUGCCAUAAUAGAGGAGGAAGAGGUGGUGGAAACUCAUUUGGAGGACACCAAUACCAUAGGCCAACAGCCAGGUAGCAAUGAAAAUGAUCAAGGAGGGCUUUCAUGGAACGAGGUCCAACUCAACCUAGUAGUCAUGUUUUUCCUAGAGGAGAAGAUAAAAGGCGUUUUCGAAAAGAAUGGUUUGAGAAAUAUAAUUGGCUGGAAUAUAGCUUGGUGAAUGGUAAGGCUUAUUGCUUUUGUUGUUAUCUUUUUAGAAGAGUUGGUGUAGAUGAUGACAAAUUUGGUUAUGAGGCCUUUACAAAAGAAGGCUUUAGGCAAUGGAAGAAUGCCUACUUAGCACUCCCUAAACAUGUUGGUGGCCCUAAUAGUGCUCAUAAUAGA